rnacentral:rRNA from 1 species
CCUACGGGCGGCUGCAGUGGGGAAUAUUGCACAAUGGGCGCAAGCCUGAUGCAGCCAUGCCGCGUGUGUGAAGAAGGCCUUCGGGUUGUAAAGCACUUUCAGCGGGGAGGAAGGCGUUAAGGUUAAUAACCUUGGCGAUUGACGUUACCCGCAGAAGAAGCACCGGCUAACUCCGUGCCAGCAGCCGCGGUAAUACGGAGGGUGCAAGCGUUAAUCGGAAUUACUGGGCGUAAAGCGCACGCAGGCGGUCUGUCAAGUCGGAUGUGAAAUCCCCGGGCUCAACCUGGGAACUGCAUUCGAAACCGGCAGGCUAGAGUCUUGUAGAGGGGGGUAGAAUUCCAGGUGUAGCGGUGAAAUGCGUAGAGAUCUGGAGGAAUACCGGUGGCGAAGGCGGCCCCCUGGACAAAGACUGACGCUCAGGUGCGAAAGCGUGGGGAGCAAACAGGAGUAGAUACCCCAGUGGUC